CAGCCGCCGCUGUAAUACGUAGGGUGCGAGCGUUAAUCGGAAUUACUGGGCGUAAAGCGUGCGCAGGCGGUUUUGUAAGACAGGCGUGAAAUCCCCGGGCUCAACCUGGGAAUGGCGCUUGUGACUGCAAAGCUAGAGUGCGGCAGAGGGGGAUGGAAUUCCGCGUGUAGCAGUGAAAUGCGUAGAUAUGCGGAGGAACACCGAUGGCGAAGGCAAUCCCCUGGGCCUGCACUGACGCUCAUGCACGAAAGCGUGGGGAGCAAACAGGAUUAGAUACCCGCGUAGUCCCUGUCUCUUAUAC
rnacentral:rRNA from 1 species